rnacentral:rRNA from 1 species
UACGAAGGGGGCUAGCGUUGUUCGGAAUUACUGGGCGUAAAGCGCGCGCAGGCGGCUAUCCAAGUCAGUGGUGAAAGCCCGGAGCUCAACUUCGGAACUGCCAUUGAAACUGUUUAGCUUGAGGAUGAGAGAGGUGAGUGGAAUUCCCAGUGUAGAGGUGAAAUUCGUAGAUAUUGGGAAGAACACCGGUGGCGAAGGCGGCUCACUGGCUCAUUACUGACGCUCAGGCGCGAUAGCGUGGGGAUCAAACAGG